rnacentral:rRNA from 1 species
CCAGGGGAAGGUUCGUCCGCCCUGGGUUAGUCGGGACCUAAGCUGAGGCCGAAAGGCGUAGGUGAUGGACAACAGGUUGAUAUUCCUGUACUACCGAUAACCGUUUGAGAGAAGGGAUGACACAGUAGGAUAAGCUAAGCACACUGUUGGUUAUGUGUGCCCAAGCAUUGAGGCAGUCAAAGUAGGCAAAUCCGCUUUGAUAAUGCUGGGAUGUGAUGGGGAGCGAAAUUUAGUAGCGAA